rnacentral:rRNA from 1 species
AUUGAACGCUGGCGGCAGGCUUAACACAUGCAAGUCGAGCGGGGGAAGGUAGCUUGCUACCGGACCUAGCGGCGGACGGGUGAGUAAUGCUUAGGAAUCUGCCUAUUAGUGGGGGACAACAUCUCGAAAGGGAUGCUAAUACCGCAUACGUCCUACGGGAGAAAGCAGGGGAUCUUCGGACCUUGCGCUAAUAGAUGAGCCUAAGUCGGAUUAGCUAGUUGGUGGGGUAAAGGCCUACCAAGGCGACGGUCUGUAGCGGGUCUGAGAGGAUGAUCCGCCACACUGGGACUGAGACACGGCCCAGACUCCUACGGGAGGCAGCAGUGGGGAAUAUUGGACAGUGGGGGGAACCCUGAUCCAGCCAUGCCGCGUGUGUGAAGAAGGCCUUAUGGUUGUAAAGCACUUUAAGCGAGGAGGAGGCUACUUUAGUUAAUACCUAGAGAUAGUGGACGUUACUCGCAGAAUAAGCACCGGCUAACUCUGUGCCAGCCGCCGCCGUAA